rnacentral:rRNA from 1 species
GAGUUUGAUCAUGGCUCAGAUUGAACGCUGGCGGCAUGCCUAACACAUGCAAGUCGAACGGCAGCACAGUCGUAGCAAUACGAUGGGUGGCGAGUGGCGGACGGGUGAGUAAUGCAUCGGGACCUACCUGAACGUGGGGGAUAACGUAGGGAAACUUACGCUAAUACCGCAUACGUCCUACGGGAGAAAGCGGGGGACCUUCGGGCCUCGCGCGGUCAGACGGACCGAUGUUCGAUUAGCUAGUUGGUAAGGUAAUGGCUUACCAAGGCGACGAUCGAUAGCUGGUCUGAGAGGAUGAUCAGCCACACUGGAACUGAGACACGGUCCAGACUCCUACGGGAGGCAGCAGUGGGGAAUAUUGGACAAUGGGCGCAAGCCUGAUCCAGCAAUGCCGCGUGUGUGAAGAAGGCC